AUUUAUCAACUACUUUGAUUUUUAUCAAAGUGAAGUUGGAUUAUGGAGGUUUCAAUGCAGACAGAUUUUGCCUGCUCCUCUAAAAUGUAUUAUCUUGGGGUAAAUUCUCAUCAUCAAUGUGAUAAAUUUACAAACAUUGUUGACUACAAUAUACCCAAGUUUCAUAUAUAAUUAAAAU
rnacentral:misc_RNA from 1 species